GUCUGAUUCAGCAUGUCUGGGUUGGGCCCAGAACUGCAUUUCUAACAAGCUCCCAGAUGCUGCUGUCACACCAAGGACUACACCAAGUAUAUGGCUUCCUCAUUGCACUACUGUCAUCAUUCAGGUUGCUGGAAAAAUCAGCUAUUGAGGACCCACCAUCUAUGUAGACCCCAGGCUCCAGCUUCACUGAGAUAUGGCUGUAUCUUCUGAUUUUAAAAGGACUGUCCUAAGGAGUCCUUGGAAGCCAUGCUUCAGCCCAAAGGUUCUCAGCAAGGAAGUUGAGCAACAUCCCAUAAGAGAGAAGGGAAUGCAGGGGAAUGUCCCACGUGAAUGUUCACCAAAGGGUGAACUCAGUAGAGGAAAUUUUUAAUAAUCAAGUGGUUUGGAUGAUCCACUCUGUGAGUCAGUUAGCUUCUUUCUCCAGACACUCCUGUCAUCUCCCAACAGAUUCAUGGACAAAGUGGCCAUGGUGGCAGGAAUUGAAGUUAUGCAUGGGCUCAGCAACAUGGACUUACACUCACCAAGGCUGACCUGGCUGCAGCCUCUGCUGAGCAUUCAGUUGGCCAGAAGCAAAGAUCAACACUGAGUCUCUGAUAGGGACAAUUCCCCAGAGUGAUCAGCCAGCUUAUUUAGUGGUAAGCUGACUACACGGGACUGUUUCCAUCAUGGAAGAGGCAGUGUUUUGUUCUUACUGGAAUAGACACUUACUCUGGACACAGAUUUGCUUUCCUCCCAUUCCCCCCACCAAAAAGGAUUUGCUUUUUCUGAAUGCAAUGCUUCUGCAAAAA
rnacentral:lncRNA from 1 species